AAGACACGUACAUGCCUUCUAAACAGAAACAGCAGUGCUCGUGUAAGCAUUUCUCCAAGAUCUGGGUUCGACUUCAGUGAUAUCCAACACUGGCCCAAGACUCUCGCUGGUCCCUGUUUAGGAAUGUCAUGUCCCCUGACCACCAGCUGUCAAGUAGAUCGACAUGGCCGUGCAAGUUGUGUUUCAGAGUUUCGGGGCUGCGGGCAUCCUCCUGAUGUAUCCGGGGCCAGCGUGACCCAUGACGGACUCUACCAGGGUGCUGUGGCAAGGUAUUCAUGCAAGAAGGACUACAUCGUCUGUCAUCAGAGAAACACCAGUGUCUGUCAAGCCUCUGGACAGUGGGAGAAUGUGGCAAGUCUCUGCGGAAAGUUCAGAUGGAGG